AGUCGUAACAAGGUUUCCGUAGGUGAACCUGCGGAAGGAUCAUUAACGUGCAUCUAAUGCAAAAACCAAAAACCAAAACCGACUGUGAACUUAAAAAACCCUUAUGUUAUUUUAACUUUUUUUAAUUCUUGUUAUUGACUUUUGUCAAUGACUUGAGUUAUUUAAAGUUAAUCCCACCACAUUAACCAAAAAACUUAAAAUACACAAACCCAUUCCAACUGAUUGAAAAAUCGUAAAUAAAUCGACGACUUUCAACGGCGGAUCUCUAGGCUCGU
rnacentral:misc_RNA from 1 species